GGUGUGGUGGGGUAGUGGUUAGCCCAGGGCCAAUAGUAUCUGCAUAUGCACAAUAUUGAGUAGAACCCAGACACAAGUUCAAAUCUUGCCUGCACCC